rnacentral:misc_RNA from 1 species
AGAGAGAGAGAGAGAGAGAUCUAAAAUCAGGAAUUGGGCUUGGUUGUAGCUGAGAGGUCAAAAUCUUAGCUUUUUGUUAAUAUGAAUGUGGGGCUUACUUAGCUACCCGUUAUUAUUUAAGCAAUUAAAUUGCAGAAUGGCCAAUCUUUUAUGUAUGCACCUAGUGGAUAGAUUGUUCUGUGAAAAGGUUUCCAGGCCAUAGAUAAUAUGGUUGAAUUUCAUAGAUUGCAGAAGGAUAAAUCCCUGCAAUGGGAAAAAGGGAAAUUGCUAGGUUUAAAUUUGAUCCAUAAAAUUUUAUGCCAUUUUGCCUUUUAAAAUCGCCUAAAUAUUGUUUAUUUCCUUUCUACUGCUCGAACAAUCAGAACUACACACUUUGGACCAUUUGCCAAGGAUAAAGAGGAAUUAAUUUAGUCUAUUUGGGUUUUAUUUUUGAAACAUAAAAGUUGUUUGUUACUUUCCUGUGGCUUUUUAUGCCUCUUCCUUUCUACUUACAUUAUUGGUUUUACUAGUAAACAGUUUUUUCCUGGGCCAUAUUUUCCCCCUUAAAUUAUGCACUUCUUGUUAACUUGAAGGUGCUCAUCUUCUGUGGUUUUUCUGUUCAUGCUCUUUGGUUUGCAUAGAUAUUGGAUUUUAGUUUCUUAAACAGUAUGUGGACUGAUAAUAAAAAAUCUGAAAUAUGUGUUUUGUGCUUUUCAAGUCCCUCUUAUGAUACUUUUCUGUGGGUGUUUACUUGGGAAUCAAAGUUGGUUAACUGUCAGCAUUCCAUAAAUGGCCUGCAUGCUAGGGUCUCAGUAUUUGCUAGACAUACACAAGUCUUGUUCUCUACUUUUGUAGAAGUCAUUAAUGAAUUAUAAAUGGUCUCUUCUGAUUGUCUUAAACUUUAACAGUGGCCCUUGAAGCUCUGUAAUAUUGUUGAUUGAUUCGCUUUGCUGAAGGUUGUUUAAACUGUCCCUGCUUAAGCCCUUUGUUUCAGCUGAAGCUGUACUUAGCAAGGAUAGCUUGACAAUGGCUGAUUCUCCUGAAUUUAUCAACUCUUUCUAGUUGCUUAAAAGAUAGGACAUCAUUCCAUUUCUUAAGCUGGAUCUCUUAAUUAUUAGCAUGUUAAAGCCAAUGAUAUUUUUUAUUUGGCAUCUGUAAUCUGUAGUUUGGGAAAUAUAGUUGCUGAAGGCUUCCAGGGAUGUGAUUUUGUUUACAUUCCAGUUACUUGAUGAUGCUUACGCAAGGUAUCUGCCAUAAGUUGUCUUUGUUCCCUUGGUUUUGAAUUCAGAGCAAGCUAUUAGUUUGCUAGUUUUUGAAAAUUGAAAAUCACUCCUGGAUGCAGAGAUUAAAAAAAUUUGCAACUUUGAAACUUUCCAUGAAAUAAAAACCUUGCAUUGUGUUGUAUUUUUAACUAAUAAUAAUCCGAAUUUUGAUUUCCUGUCAAUUGCGAAUUAUAAAAUUUUGUUUCAAUUGUUUUUUUCCUUGUCAAUCUCAACGCAAAUUAAACCUGAUAUUUCAGGUUGGCCCAGGAGGUUCAGUUUAAAAGGCUAUGGUUCUGGAUAACAUCUUAUCAUCUCCUCAUCGGAGAUCACCAUCUUUCCGGAAACAAUUCCCGCGGGAUGAGUUGGGUAGUUGGUCAACACUCAUUCAAAGGCACCGUUUCCUCUUAACAGCUUUGGUUCUUUUGGCUUUCCUUUGCACCAUCUAUCUUUACUUUGCUAUUACUUUAGGCGCCACUGCCACUGGAUCAUGUUCUGGAUUGACAGGAAAACAGCAAGCAUUGUGUCGCAUAGAAUUGGCAAAGGCUUCGGUCAAGGGGAAAAUGAAGUUUUUCUAGCACAUAGACAUAGACAACAAACUAUUCUCAUUUUGAGGAGGCAAUGCUUGUGCUUGUUAUUGGUUACUGUAUACAUGAUAUGAUAUAUGUCAGAAUUUGUCUAGGAAAAGUUUGAUCACAUUGAAUCAUUAUCAUUAACGUGAAAAUCAUUUUGUAGUUGGUUUUGCCCCCCUAAUUUCAUCACCUGCUGGAGAUGUAUAUCAAUAUGUUAAUUUGAAAUACAAAGUCAUUUUUACUUUCUGUUCCUUUUG